GACCUGGUAGUGUAACGGUAACAUAUCUCUCACAAAUGUAUGAAACUAUCCAUUAAGGUUGGAGUAUCCCCUGUUCGACUCAGGGCCAGGUCG